rnacentral:rRNA from 1 species
CUAAGAAUCUUGCGCAAUGGGCGAAAGCCUGACGCAGCAAUUCCGCGUGGGGGACGAAGGCCCUCGGGUCGUAAUCCCCUUUUGCGAGGGAAGAAGUUCUGACGGUACCUCGCGAAUAAGACACGGCUAACUACGUGCCAGCAGCCGCGGUAAUACGUAGGUGUCGAGCGUUGUCCGGAUUUAUUGGGCGUAAAGAGCCCGCAGGCGGCUUGCCAAGUUCGAGGUGAAAUCUCCCGGCUCAACCGGGAGGGUGCCGCGAAAACUGGCAGGCUUGAGGCAGGGAGAGGGAUGUGGAAUUCCCGGUGUAGUGGUGAAAUGCGUAGAUAUCGGGAGGAACACCAGUGGCGAAGGCGGCAUCCUGGCACUGUCCUGACGCUCAGGGGCGAAAGCGUGGGGAGC